GUGGGCUAUGGUGAUAUUUACCCUAAAACACUGUUAGGGAAAAUUGUAGGUGGCCUCUGCUGUAUUGCAGGAGUCCUGGUUAUUGCCCUUCCUAUACCCAUCAUUGUGAACAAU
rfam:Neotoma lepida isolate 417 scaffold_4316, whole genome shotgun sequence.